rnacentral:lncRNA from 1 species
CGAUUUUAAUACAUACUAAUACAUCAUGCAACUAUAGUAGAGAUUACAUGCAACAUGUGGCAUGCUGUUCUUAAAAUGGAUGCUAUAGUAUAACAUGCAAACACUCGGAUAUUCACACAGCAGGAAUACGUUUACAAAACAUUAGGAACUGCUUUUUCCAUGACAUACAGUAUACUGACCAGGUGAAUCCAGGUGAAAGCUUUGAUUCCUUAUGGAUGUCACUAUUUUUAAGCCUUGAGACAAUUGAGACAUGGAUUGUGUAUGUGUGCCAUUCAGAGAGCGAACGGGAAAGACAAAAUAUUUAAGUACCUUUGAACGGGGUAUGGUAGUAGGUGCCAGACGCACCAGUUUGUGUCAAGAUCUGCAACGCUGCUGUUUUUUUCACGCUCAACAGUUUCCUGUGUGUAUCAAGAAUGGUCCACCACCCAAACAACAUCCAGCCAACUUGACACGACUAUGGGGAGCAUUGGGCCAGCAUCCCAUUCGACACCUUGUAGAGACCAUGCCCAGAAAACUGAGGCUGUUCUGAUGGCAAAAGUGGGUGCAACUCAAUAUUAGGAAGGUAUUCCUAUUGUUUUGUGCACAUUGAGAGAGAGAGAGAGAGAGAGAGAGAGAGAGAGAGAAAUAGAAGGCCUAUGCUCUUAAGAUUUAUGGCCAUCUCUCACGCUUGGCUACAGAUCUAAUCUGAUCUAAGAAUACACGUUACUAGGCCGUAAAUCAAAGUGUGCACAUUGUCUACUUGUUGAAUAUUUGUGAAGUCUUGAUUUGUAAUUGUUUGUAAUGUCUUAUUAAUUGGUGUUGGACCCCAGAAAGAUUAGCUAGCGUUACGGCGUUAGCUAAUGGGGAUCCUAAUAAAAAUGACAAAUGACAAAAAUAGGAUUAGAAACUCAGUAAUAUAGCAGUAACAUCUAAGGCUAUACAUUACAGCGGGAACAUACAAACAAUUAAAUUGAGUACAGGCUUAACUGAAUGAACAACAAAGACAGAAUGCAAUAUGACAUUUUAUGAAAUAGUUCUGGGAAUGGCCUCGUCUCCGAAGGGGAUAGCUGGUAGCUCUAUGUGGGGCUGCUGGCAUCGAACCCCUCCCGGGGGAAAGGAGUUCCAAUGAUGGGCCUUAAGGUUAUUAUAGCUGGUGGUGGUGGGGAUGUAGAUUGUUGUCAAACUGUUGCUGAAAAACAGCAAGUUAGAAAACAAAGGUAAGUUGAAAUAUAAAUACAUGCCAAGAUUUACGCCCAUUGGUUGGAAGAAGAAGGAAGGUGAUAAUUGCAAGAGUGAGCCCAUAGGAUAAACAGGAAGUGUGAGGAAUGCACAUUGUGCCAUGCCUAUAGUCUAUAAGGUAAACGUGAAUGACAUUCCGCACAUGGUUAAUAGGAAAGAGGAGAAGAAACAUGACGCUAUGCUGAUGAUGAUACUGUAUGUUGGUAUUCACUCCCACUAUGCCCAUGGAAUAGGAAACAAAGUAUUAUUAUUUUAUGCUCACUGGAUGAAGUUUAGCAUUCAUACCAGCGUUCAUGAUUUAAUCUUGUAAACUACAUUUCAAUCGAGUACAGGCUUAAUAACUGAAUGAACAUCAAAGAUGGAGAGCAAUAUGACAUUUUAGUAAAUAGUUAGGGGAAUAGCAUCGUCUCUGAGUGAAGAGCCGCUGAGCCAGAUGAUGUGAUGGCAGGUAGCCCUAUGAGAGGCUGCUGGCAUCAAAACCCCCCAAAAUAAUUUGUUACUUACCAUGGAGAAGGGACACAACAAAGCAACAAUUGGAUCUAAAGAUUGAAAACAAUGCAUAAUUAGAUGUAAAAGAGAUGCAUGCUAGGAAUAGAACAAAAGUGAGAUUAUGCUGUAAUGGAAAGUAUUAUAUUACAUUUUUCAACAAAGCAUGGAGUGCUGAACGCCAGAAUCAAACAUUUGCUGAUGUUUUUAGAUGAAGUGCUAUGUAUGCUUGUACGUAGAACCCAACCACACAUGCUGUAUUGCGAUUUGUAUGAUAAAAUGAGACAUUUGCUUUGGUUCGAACCCAGUCAUGCAUGCGGUAAUACGAAGCGAUAGGGACACGUGCCAAAGACUGUCUGACCCAAUGCUGGUCUGCUGAGUGCCUCGCAUUGACAUAAAAAUGCCUAGAGUGAUGAUUUACAUGAUGAGCAGUAGUAAGUCUACUGAGCUCAUAAAGCAUGAAUGAAAUACAUACACUACCAUUCAAAAGAUUGGUGUCACUUAGAAAUGUCCUUGUUUUUGAAAGAAAAGCACAUUUUUUGUCCAUUAAAAUAACAUCAAAUUGAUCAGAAAUACAGUGUAGACAUUGUAAAUGUUGUAAAUGACUAUUGUAGCUGGAAACGGAAGAUUUUUUUUAAUGGAAUAUCUACAUAGACGUACAGAGGCCCAUUAUCAGCAACCAUCACUCCUGUGUUCCAAUGGCACGUUGUGUUAGCUAAUGCAAGUUUAUCAUUUUAUAAAGCUAAUUGAUCAUUAGAAAACCCUUUUGCAAUUGUGUUAGCACAGCUGAAAACUGUUGUUCUCAUUAAAGAAGCAAUAAAACUGGCAUUCUUUAGACUAGUUGAGUAUCUGGAGCGUCAGCAUUUGUUGGUUCGAUUACAGGCUCAAAAUGGCCAGAAACAAAGAACUUUCUUCUGAAACUCGUCAGUCUAUUGCUGUUCUGAGAAAUGAAGGCUAUUCCAUGCGAGAAAUUGCCAAGAAAGUGAAGAUCUCGUACAAAGCUGUGUACUACUCCCUUCACAGAACAGCGCAAACUGGCACUAACCAGAAUAGAAAGCGGUGUGGGAGCCCCCGGUGCACAACUGAGUAAGAGGACAAGUACAUCAGAGUGUCUAGUUUGAGAAACAGACGCCUCACAUGUCCUCAACUGGCAGCUUCAUUAAAGAGUACCCGCAAAACACCAGUCUCAACGUCAACAGUAAAGAGGCGACUCCCUAGGCAGAGUUCCUUUGUCCAGUGUCUGUGUUCUUUUGCCCAUCUUAAUCUUUUAUUUUUAUUGGCCAGUCUGAGAUAUGGCUUUUUCUUUGCAACUCUGCCUAGAAGUCCAGCAUCUCUGAGUCGCCUCUUCACAGUUGACGUUGAGACUGGUGUUAUGCGGGUACUAUUUAAUGAAGCUGCCAGUUGAGGACUUGUGAGGCGUCCAACUCCUCUUUCUAUUCUGGUUAGAGCCAGUUUCUUUUUUAAAUCACUGAAUAAUCAAUUGAUAAAAUAGCCGUGAUAUUGCAAAGCACCACUUGUGAAAUAGGCUACAAUUAUGCAUGUAAGCCAAUUUUAUGAUGUCAAAUAUGAAUACUAUGCUUACAGACAUGUUGUCUAUGAUUAUUGUACGAUACAAAUCCAUGAUUGCUGGCGAUGGAGUGUUGACGAGGCCGUUCGACAAGCUGCUCUUGGGUUCACCUUGGUUUGAGUCCACUCCUAUGCAACCAUACACUUUUAGACAAAAAGGUGCCAUCUAGAACUGUUUUGGUUCCAUGUAGAACCCUCUGUGGAAAGGGUUCUACAUGGAACCCAAAACAGUUCUACUUGGAACCAAAAGGGUUCUACUUGGAACCAAAAAGGGUUCUCCUAUUGGGACAGCUGAAGAACCCUUUUGGAAUGCUUUUUUUCUGAGUGUACAGCUGGGAACAGCGCAGCAGCAAUCAUACAUUCUAAUAUAAUUAAUAGAGAGGAGAGAGCGAUAGCCAGGGGAAAGGAACAGCACAACAUGUUUCAGGGAAAGAGUGGCCUGUGGGUUCACACCUGAAACCAAUCAUAAAGCCUUGACUGCAAAUGUGCGCUAGAUCAACAUGACAUGAUAAAAAUAGUGAUUGUUGUUAGGCUGAUGGAUACCACAUUGGCAAAGGUGUCAUCGCUUUCCUCAGUGGCCUGCUUUAUUUCGGACAGCCGUAUGCCAUUUCCACCACUGCCCACUCCUGCUGGUCCGUCAGCACAUGGCCACGGCCACAACCAUGGGGUCUCCUGUCAAUUCUGAGGGUACAACAGAUAUACUGUCAAUAGAUUAUACUAAGAAUACUGUAUAUUUUGGGAAUUUACUUGCAUUACAAUGUAAUUUACUGUAAAUGUAAUGGUAAAGAAUAGCGCAGACUUAAAGAAUUUCUUGGUUAAAUGUUCUCUAAUUGACAGUUGAUAUUUUUAGAUUGGGGUGAACUAAUCUGGCAGCCUCGGACAUGGCAAGGCCUGUUUACCACAUGGUCAACGCCGAUGGCCUGGACUUCAUUAGACACAACAGUUCUCUGCUGUCUGCCUCCCUCUCUCUGAUGUCCACCUCUUUGACAGUGCCCAUGCCCACCUCUUGACCUCUGAUGGUGUAACGGGCGUCAUAUGAAGGGGACAAAGGCGCAGCGUGUUGAGUGCUCAUUGUAAAUUAAUGAAAAUCGAACACUGAAUACAAAUAAACAAAAAUUACAGCUGACAGUUCUGUCAGGUUAAUCUAACAAAACAGAAAACAACUACCCACACAAACCAAGGGAAAAAGGCUGCCUAAGUAUGGCUUCCAAUCAGAGUCAACGAUAGACAGCUGCCUCUGAUUGGAAACCAUACCCGGCCAAAACAUAGAAAACAAACACAUAGAAUGCCCACCCACCUAUCACACCCUGACCUAACUAAACAGAGAAAACACAGCUCUCCUAGGUCAGAGCGUGACAGUACCCCCCCAAAGGUGCGGACUCCCUGCCGCAAACCUGAACCUAUAGGGGAGGGUCCGGGUGGGCAUCUACAAUUGGGGCGCCUCUGGUUCAGGGAGUAGCACCCCCACCGCCCGCUGCUCCCCCCGCUUCUGUGUGUCCGGAGGAACCAGACCGUGGAUCAUUGCCGGAGGCUUUGGAAUGCCAACCGCUGCUGAAGACUCUGGGCUGAAGACCGCCGCUGAAGACUCUGGGCUGAAGGGCGCCGUAGAAGACUCUAGGCUGAAGGGCGCCGUUGAAGACUCUAGGCUGAAGGGCGCCGUUGAAGACUCUGGGCUGCAGACCGCUGCUGGAGGCUCCGGACUGGGGAGCGUCGUUGUAGGUUCCGGACUGGGGACCGUUGCUGCAAGCUCCAUGCCAUGGAUCAUCAAUACAGGUUCCGUGCCAUGGAUCAUCACUGGAGGCUUCGUGCCAUGGAUCAUCUCUACAGGCUCCGGGCCAUGGAUUAUCUCUACAGGCUUCUUGCCAUGGAUUAUCCCUACAGGCUCCGGACCAUGGAUAAUCCCUACAGGCUUCUUGCCAUGGAUUAUCCCUACAGGCUCCGGGCCAUGGAUCAUCACUAGAGGCUUUGUGCCAUGGAUCAUCUCUACAGGCUUCGGACCAUAGAUUAUCACUGGAGGCUUUGCUCGUGGAGCUGGAACAGGUCUCACCGGACUGGAGAGACGCACUGAGGACCGGGUGCUCAGAGCAGGCACCGGCCGUACUGGGCUAUGGAGGCUUACUGGAGGGAGAGUGCGAGGGGCAGGCACAGGACGUACUGGGCUAUGGAGGCGCACUGGAGGGAGAGUGCGAGAGGCAGGCACAUGCUCACCACAAUAAGCACGGGGAGUUGGCUCAGGUCUCACCCCUGGCCCCGCCAAACUACCCGUGUGCCCCCCCCAAAUGUUUUGUUGGGGGGCUGCCUCUCGUUCUUCCCCGGUAGGCUACGACAUGUCUAUUACCUGGCCCCAAGUCAAAUUUCAAAUUUAUUUAUAUAGCCCUUCUUACAUCAGCUGAUAUAUCAAAGUGCUGUACAGAAACCCAGCCUAAAACCCCAAACAGCAAGCAAUGCAGGUGUAGAAGCACGGUGGCUAGGAAAAACUCCCUAGAAAGGCCAAAACCUAGGAAGAAACCAAGAGAGGAACCAGGCUAUGAGGGGUUUCCAGUUCUCUUCUGGCUCUGCCGGGUGGAGAUUAUAACAGAACACGGCCAAGAUGUUCAAAUGUUCAUAAAUGACCAGAAUGGUCAAAUAAUAAUAAUCACAGUUGUCGAGGGUGCAACAAGUCAGCACCUCAAGAGUAAAUGUCAGUUGGCUUUUCAUAGCCGAUCAUUGAGAGUAUCUCUACCGCUCCUGCUGUCUCUAGAGAGUUGAAAACAGCAGGUCUGGGACAGGUAGCACGUCCGGUGAACAGGUCAGAGUUCCAUAGCCGCAGGCAGAACAGUUGAAACUGGAGCAGCAGCACGGCCAGGUGGACUGGGGACAGCAAGGAGUCAUCAUGUCAGGUAGUCCUGAGGCAUGGUCCUAGGGCUCAGGUCCUCCGAGCGAGAAAGAAAGAGAGAAAGAGAGAAUUAGAGAGAGCAUACUUAAAUUCACACAGGACACCGGAUAAGACAGGAGAAAUACUCCAGAUAUAACAGACUGACCCUAGCCCCCCGACACAUAAACUACUGCAGCAUAAAUACUGGAGGCUGAGACAGGAGGGGUCAGGAGACACUGUGGCCCCAUCCGACGAUACCCCCGGAUAGGGCCAAACAGGAAGGAUAUAACCCCACCCACUUUGCCAAAGCACAGCCCCCACACCACUAGAGGGAUAUCUUCAACCACCAACUUACCAUCCUGAGACAAGGCCGAGUAUAGCCCACAAAGAUCUCCGCCACGGCACAACCCAAGGGGGAGGUGCCAACCCAGACAGGAAGACCACGUCAGUGACUCAACCCACUCAAGUGACGCACCCCUCCUAGGGACGGCAUGGAAGAACACCAAUAAGCCAGUGACUCAGCCCCUGUAACAGGGUUAGAGACAGAGAAUCCCAGUGGAGAGAGGGGAACCGGCCAGGCAGAGACAGCAAGGGCGGUUCGUUGCUCCAGAGCCUUUCCGUUCACCUUCACACUCCUGGGCCAGACUACACUCAAUCAUAGGACCCACUGAAGAGAUGAGUCUUCAGUAAAGACUUAAAAGGUUGAGACCGAGUCUGCAUCUCUCACAUGGGUAGGCAGACUAUUCCAUAAAAAUGGAGCUCUAUAGGAGAAAGCCCUGCCUCCAGCUGUUUGAUUAGAAAUUCUAGGGACAAUUAGGAGGCCUGCGUCUUGUGACCGUAGCGUACGUGUAGGUAUGUACGGCAGGACCAAAUCGGAAAGAUAGGUAGGAGCAAGCCCAUGUAAUGCUUUGUAGGUUAUCAGUAAAACCUUUAAAUCAG